CCUACGGUAGGCAGCAGUGGGGAAUAUUGGACAAUGGGCGAAAGCCUGAUCCAGCCAUGCCGCGUGAGUGAUGAAGCCCUAGGGUUGUAAAGCUCUUUCAGCGGGGAAGAUAAUGACGGUACCUUCAGAAUAAGCCCGGCUAACUUCGUGCCAGCAGCCGCG
rnacentral:rRNA from 1 species